rnacentral:rRNA from 1 species
UACGUAGGUGGCAAGCGUUGUCCGGAAUUAUUGGGCGUAAAGCGCGCGCAGGCGGUCCUUUAAGUCUGAUGUGAAAGCCCACGGCUCAACCGUGGAGGGUCAUUGGAAACUGGGGGACUUGAGUGCAGGAGAGAAGAGUGGAAUUCCACGUGUAGCGGUGAAAUGCGUAGAGACGUGGAGGAACACCAGUGGCGAAGGCGACUCUUUGGCCUGUAACUGACGCUGAGGCGCGAAAGCGUGGGGAGCGAACAGG